UACGGGGGGAGCAAGCGUUGUUCGGAUUUACUGGGCGUAAAGAGCUUGUAGGCGGUUUGUCGCGUCUGCCGUGAAAAUCCGGGGCUCAACCCCGGACUUGCGGUGGGUACGGGCAGACUAGAGUGUGGUAGGGGAGACUGGAAUUCCUGGUGUAGCGGUGAAAUGCGCAGAUAUCAGGAGGAACACCGAUGGCGAAGGCAGGUCUCUGGGCCACUACUGACGCUGAGAAGCGAAAGCGUGGGGAGCGAACAGG
rnacentral:rRNA from 1 species